rnacentral:rRNA from 1 species
GUUGAUAAGGUUAAGUGAAUAAGGGCGCACGGUGGAUGCCUUGGCACUAGGAGCCGAUGAAGGACGGGACUAACACCGAUAUGCUUUGGGGAGCUGUACGUAAGCUAUGAUCCAGAGAUUUCCGAAUGGGGGAACCCAACAUCUUUAAUAGGAUGUUACGAUUGUGUGAAUACAUAGCACAUUCGAGGUAGACGCAGAGAACUGAAACAUCUAAGUACCUGCAGGAAGAGAAAGAAAAUUCGAUUCCCUGAGUAGCGGCGAGCGAAACGGGAAAAGCCCAAACCAGCAAGCUUGCUUGUUGGGGUUGUAGGACUCCAAUAUGGUAGUUCUUUCAGAUAGUCGAAUGACUUGGAAAAGUCAGUCAAAGAGGGUAAAAACCCCGUAGACGAAAUGUGGAAGACACCUAGGAGGAUCCUGAGUACGGCGGAACACGAGAAAUUCCGUCGGAAUCCGGGAGGACCAUCUCCCAAGGCUAAAUACUCCCUAGUGACCGAUAGUGAACCAGUACCGUGAGGGAAAGGUGAAAAGCACCCCGGAAGGGGAGUGAAAUAGAACCUGAAACCGUGUGCCUACAACAAGUCAAAGCCCGUUAAUGGGUGAUGGCGUGCCUUUUGUAGAAUGAACCGGCGAGUUACGAUUGCAUGCGAGGUUAAGUUGAAGAGACGGAGCCGCAGCGAAAGCGAGUCUGAAUAGGGCGUUUGAGUAUGUAGUCGUAGACCCGAAACCAUGUGAUCUACCCAUGUCCAGGUUGAAGGUGCGGUAAAACGCACUGGAGGACCGAACCCACGUACGUUGAAAAGUGCGGGGAUGAGGUGUGGGUAGCGGAGAAAUUCCAAACGAACUUGGAGAUAGCUGGUUCUCUCCGAAAUAGCUUUAGGGCUAGCCUCGGAAUUGAGAAUGAUGGAGGUAGAGCACUGUUUGGACUAGGGGCCCAUCUCGGGUUACCGAAUUCAGAUAAACUCCGAAUGCCAUUCAUUCAUAUCCGGGAGUCAGACUGUGAGUGAUAAGAUCCAUAGUCGAAAGGGAAACAGCCCAGACCACCAGCUAAGGUCCCAAAAUAUAUGUUAAGUGGAAAAGGAUGUGGGGUUGCACAGACAACUAGGAUGUUGGCUUAGAAGCAGCCACCAUUUAAAGAGUGCGUAAUAGCUCACUAGUCGAGUGACCCUGCGCCGAAAAUGUACCGGGGCUAAACAUAUUACCGAAGCUGUGGAGUACACCUUUAGGUGUAUUGGUAGGAGAGCGUUCUAAGGGCGUUGAAGGCAGAUCGUGAGGACUGCUGGAGCGCUUAGAAGUGAGAAUGCCGGUAUGAGUAGCGAAAGACAGGUGAGAAUCCUGUCCACCGAAUGACUAAGGUUUCCUGGGGAAGGCUCGUCCGCCCAGGGUUAGUCGGGACCUAAGCCGAGGCCGACAGGCGUAGGCGAUGGAUAACAGGUUGAUAUUCCUGUACCCGUUGUUUUUGUUUGAGCAAUGGAG